CAACAGCUGAAAGGAGGUGACCCAGUGUCUCAUUGUCCUCAUCCGAGUGUGGAAGCCGCGACCCGGGUCGCCGCUUACGAGGUCUCCAAGUAAGCGCCGAGUUGCGGGCCGCACUGCGGUCCGACAAUGGAAGGGCCGGUUCUCGCAAGAGAGCCGGCCC
rfam:Phenylobacterium sp. Root1277 contig_2, whole genome shotgun sequence.